rnacentral:lncRNA from 1 species
AAGGAGCUUCCAAGAGUUUGAAGCAGCGGUUGACGACUGCCCGAUCCUAACCUUGCCAACUGCUGAGCCAGGGUAUGUGAUUUAUAGUGACGCUUAACUUUAAAUGGUUGGGUGGUUUUUGAUGCAAGGACCAGGAAAGUAUCGCGUAUGCAUCUCGCCAAUUGAAGGACCUAUGAAAGGAAUUACCCCAAUCACGACUGGAGUUGGCGCCGUAGUCUUUGCAUGAAGCUAAUGGCGCCAUUACCUCUAUGGCGCGAUGCGAAGUAUAUUACGGAUCACAAGAGCUUAAAGACUUUUCACUCAGAAGGAGUUUUGAACUUGAGGCAGCGCAGAUGGUUGAGCUUUCCAAGGAUUAUGACCUUGGACUAUUCUUUACCACCCCGGGCAAGGCCUAACGUGGUGGCAGAUGCACAAAAGUCGGAAAUCGACUGAGAACUUAGCGAAUGCUUAUGGUUUACUCAACUGCGUUGAUUCCGAGCAGCAUGAAGCGAUGAGUUGGAGGUGGGGCUCCUGAUACACCUUUGAGAACUGAUGGCUUUGGUGGUGCAACCCACACUUUUGGAAAGGAUUAAAGAAGCAAAGCUUCCGACUCGGAGUGCAAAAGAAAUUCGAGCUUAAGAGGUUGAUGGUUGCACCGGUGACUUCACUUUGAGACGGUGAAUGGAUUGAUGCGUUUUCCACGUGGACGACUUUGUGUCCCGACGGAUUUGGGCAUCAAAGAGGAUAUUCUUCAAGAAGCACAUCGAGCACCGUAUGCUAUACAUCCGGGAGGCACCAAAAUGUAUAAGGACUUGAAGUUGCUUUACUGGUGGCCGGGGAUGAAAAAGGAUAUUGGUGAGUUUGUUGUUAGAUGUCUAACUUGCCAACAGGUGAAGGCUGAGCACUGAGUUCCUGCGGGAAAGUUGCAGAGCCUACCGAUUCCAGUGUGGAAGUGGGAAAAGAUCACCAUGGACUUCGUGAUGGGAUUGCCUCGCUCACAGGCCGGGCAUGACGCUAUUUGGGUGAUUGUGGAUAGGUUGACGAAAUCGGCACAUUUCAUACCUAUCCACACUACUUGGACUGGUGAGAGACUCGCACAGGUUUAUUUGGAUGAGAUUGUGCGAUUACACAGGGUACCUACUUCCAUAGUAUCAGACCGAGACCCCCGUUUUGUAUCCCACUUUUGGAGGAGCUUACAGGACGCUCUGGGUACGCGUUUGGACUUCAGUACAGCUUUCCACCCCCAGAGUGACGGGCAGUCAGAGCGUACUAUACAGACUGUCGAGGACAUGCUUCGAGCCUGCGUGAUCGACUUCCAGGGAGGAUGGUCGCAGCAUCUACCGAUGGCAGAGUUUGUUUAUAACAACAGUUAUCAAGCAAGCAUCAAGAUGGCACCGUUCGAGGCACUCUAUGGACGGAAGUGUAGAUCGCCACUUCAUUGGAGUGAAGUUGGUGAGAGAUUGGCUUUAGGCCCUGAUAUGCUCCAGGAAGCAGAAGACUAGGUUCGCAUCGCUCGGGAGCGAUUGUUGACAGCCCAGAGUAGGCAGAGGAGCUACGCUCAUCGGCAUCGACGAGAUUUGGAGUUUCAGAUUGGAGACCAUGUGUUCUUGAAAGUCUCGCCGACCAAAGGAAUUCGAAGAUUUGGAAUCCGGGGCAAGUUGAGCCCCCGAUAUAUUGGACUGUAUGAGGUUUUGGAGCGUGUAGGCCCGGUAGCGUAUCGACUCGCUCUAUCGCCAAACCUAUCGGGUGUACACAAUGUGUUUCAUGUAUCGGUCCUUCGGAAGUACAUCCACGACCCAGCUCAUGUUUUGGACGCUACGCCUUUGGAGCUGAGGGAUGACUUGAGCUUUGAGGAGCAACCCUUGAGGAUUGUGGCUCGCAAGGUGAAAAGAUUGCGGAACCGAGAAAUUCCUUACGUGAAGGUGCUUUGGAGCAACCACGACGAGCGUGAGGCCACUUGGAAGCUGGAGAGCGCACUGCUGGAGCGCUAUCCCCAUCUUUUUCAGAUGGAGGCUUAAGGUAUUUGUCAUUUCGAGUUUCGCGGACGAAACUCCUUUUUAGGAGGGGUGAAUGUAACACACUGGACCUUUGCAAAUUGCGAGGUUCGAGUGUUUGGAGGUAUUUCGAGCUUUUCCGCGCUUCGUGGAGGGUUGUAGAAUGUUUUCCGACCUAAAAAGUUCGAAAACUGGAAUUCUGGACAAGUCCUGAGAGUUUUUACUCACGGGAACCGGUCCAUGGAAGGAGAGACCGGUCUCGCAGUGAACAGUGUUCCGGCAGCCCUGAGGCAACCGGUCCUUGGCGGGCGAGACCGGUCCCCGAGCGCGCCUUCGCAGAAAGAGACCGGUUCCGCGCAGGGAGAGACCGGUUCCCGAACGUUGGUUUUUCGGGUUCGCAGCGAGAGACCGGUCCCUGCUGGGGAGAGACCGGUCCCUCUGGGCGAAAAAUGCCGAGACCGGGCUGAUGCAAUAUUGGGUUUUUGAGGGGCCUCUUGGGAUUUUGUUACUCUAGAUGGCUUAUAGGGCCACACCCCCCUCUUCCCUUCUCAUUUCUCUCCUCACACCCUCUCCCCACACCUUCUAGAGAGAGAAGAAGAAGAAGGAGGAGAAGAAGAAGAGGAGUUUGCUUGAGGGAGCUUGGAGCUCAACCUCCCCAUUUCUCUCCUUUCCAUCCUUGCAAGGCUUGGAGCUUGCUUGUAGGGCUUAGUGGUAGACCAAUCUUCAACCUUAGAAGAUUUGGAGCUUGUUUUGAGGCAUCUAAAGAGGUUAGUACUUUGAUUCUACCCUUUGAUUCUUGUUUUGGUAGAUUUUGCCUUUUGGAACCCUAGAAUGAGAUUUAGGGUUGAUUUUGGGGCUUUUUGAUAUAGGGCUUUUGAGGCUAGAUUGAUUGGAUUAGAACCUUCCUUGAGUUUGGAUUGGAAGGGUUCUAGCUCUCUUUUAGAGCUUUGGGAGAGAUUUCUUCUCUUGAGGUGAGUUUUAGCCCUUUUGUUAGGUUGUUAAAGUUUGACCUUAUAGAUUGAUCGUAAUGCCCGUGUAUCUCUUCGCUCAAUACUUCUAGGGUAUUUCGAGACUCGGGGACAACUUUGUUCGGCGAAACGAGGCGCUACGCGACGGUUCGGUGGGUUUGACUAAGCCUACAUAUGAGAAAUUCUCAUAUAUGGUUACAUAUGUUCCGUAAAUUGAAAAAACAUGCAUGUUCAUACUAAAUGUAUUUAUUAUGAUUUUUAGAAUGCUUAAAAUGCAUAUGUUACAUAUGAUGAAAUUUUGGACCUCUAUGUAGUAGAGAGUUGCUUGGGAGAUCUAUGGUUGCAUUUAGCAUUCUUUAUGAGACUUGGUUUCAUGCUUCUAUAGUGUAAAUGAGUUCGGAUUCAUGCAUUUAAACUUGAGUUUACUUGUGACAUGAAAGAUGACAAGAUUGCCAUUUAGAAGGUAUGUGAACUAGAGAGCUAAUGUCAUCAAGCGGCAUUGAGCUCGGGACAUGUGAGAACCUAGUGGAUAGGGCCAUUGAGGGAUUUGGAAUACAUGUUGAACAUCAAAUUGCCUAAGUGUCAUCAAGGGGCACUAGGCGUAGCAAAUGUUGAAACUUCACAUUGUGACUUAAACUAGAUCUUCGGGAUGCUAGUGACCAUACCAUGUUAGAGACAUGAGGAUUGGAUAUUUGAGACUUGGACUAUGCUUGCUUGCCAUUUGUGCUCAUUCGCACAUGCUUGUGAGGGUCGCUCCCUACAAGCCGGCACUCCGGAGUUAGCCUACGCGACUUAUGUUCGCUCGUGCGGUAUUGAGAAGCCUACGGGGUCGAGUGGGACAGACACAUUCCAAGAGUAGGGAUGUUGGGCUACCACAGGCACUUAGGCGGCACAAGCUGGACUACCUUUGGUAGGUCCUUAAUUGGAAAUGGAAAUCGACACGGUGUUGAGAAUGGUUAAUCACUACUAGAUAGGUUUAGUAGUUGAAUUACAUUUAUAUGCUUUUAGCAUAGUGUUGAGACAUGUAGUAUACUUGAUAGUCUCCUUUUGCAUUAAAGCAUACUUGGUUGCCAUAACAGAACUUAUGCAUAAUGUAUUGAUAAAGGUUAAUGACACUUAGCUAUUGCCAUUGGACAUACUAUUGUGAUAUCGUAGAUGUACAUCACCAUGACAUCGUUUAUACUUGAGUUUAAUAAUUUAGCAUUUUAGUUAUGCCUUUAUAUCGCAGUCAUUAUUGCUAUCAUUAUUGUACUUACCCUUUCCUUUUGGGGCCUAGUGGUGCAUUGAGCUGAGGUCAGUAAUUGCCCACUGGGAACUAUAAAUUAUAGUUCUCACGCCCUCUUUUUUCGAUGUUUUUCAGAGCCUUCCACGCAGGGUGAGGCCAGGGAUCGCGGGAAGGGAGUUGCUUCGAGCUAGCUUCCUUCGAGGGCGAGUUGUUAGGUGGUCUACCUCCCGAUAUUUACUUGUCUUACCGAGAGGUUGAGGGUUUUGGCAGUGUACUAGAGACCACCAUUUUUAUAUUAGAGACAGAUAUUGUACUACUUAUGAUUUCUUUUAUUGUCUAGCUUUACUUUGGUGUAGAUGUUAGAACUUUACUUGCUCUGAUGUCAUUAGUUGCUAGUCAUUUCACUUUCUCUAUUUGUUCUAUUACUUGCUUUUACUUCCGCUUUUAUUCUAGACGCCUUAUAUGUGUAGACAUAUGGCGGGUCUGGGCACGCUACCGGGAGGGCCGCAGCCGGUCCCGGGGCGUGACAACAACCCUCCACCAAGUGUGGAAAAGCUCGAAAUAUAUCCAAACACUCGAACCUCGCAAUUUGCAAAGGUCCAGUGUGCUACAAGAUGGGCUUAUUAGCCAUUCCACCCUCUCUCCUUCCUCAUUUCCUCAUUCUCACCCUCUCCCUACACUUUCUAGAGAGAGAAGAAGAAGGAGGAGGAGAAGAAGUGGAGGAGGAUCUUGCUUGAGGAAGCUUGGAGCUCAACCCCCUUUUUCUCUUUUCCACCCUUGCAAGGCUUGGAGCUUGCUUGUAGGGCUUGGUGGUGGACCAAUCUUCAAUCCUAGAAGAUUUGGAGCUUGUUUGGAGGCAUCUUGAGAGGUUAGUACCUUGAUUCUAAUCUUUGAUCCUUGUUUUGGUAGGUUUUACCAUAUGGAACCCUAGAUUGGGAUUUUAGCAUUUUGGGUAUUUUGAACCUAGGGCUUUUGGAGCUUGAUCACUCAGAUUAGAGCCUUCCUUUGGGUUGGAUUGGAAGGGAUUUAGCUCUCUUUUGGAGCUUAGGAAGAGAUUUUGCACUAGAGAUGAGUUUUUGACCCUAUUCUUGAGAUAGUUAAAAUUUGAGCCUAGGGUUGCUCGUAACGCUUGUGUAUCUCUUCGCUCAUCACUUUUAGGGUAUUUUGAGACUCGUGGACAACCCCGUUCGGCGAAUCGAAGGAGCACGCGACGGUUCGGUGGGUUUGACCUAGCCACACAAUGAGAAAAUCUCAUUGUUGAUGUUUUAAGUGUUGUAAAAUGCAAAAGCAUGCAUAAUCAUGUUAGAUACAUUUAUUAUGAAUUUUUGAAUGCUUAACAUGCAUAUGUAAUGUAUAAUAAAUUUUUGGACCUCUAUGUGGUAGAGUGCAUGCAUGUGAGAUAUAGCAUCCUAGUUGAGAUUUGGAACUAUGAUUCCCAUUAUGAAAUUGGACAUUGCUAUUAUGCAUUUAACCUUUAUGCCUAAUCGUGACAUCAGAACCUUAGUAAGCCAUAAAGAGGCUUGGGGACUUGUACUACUUGUGAAUAAUUGGGCUAAUGUCAUAAAGGGGCAUUGAGCUCGGUCAUGUGCGAACCUAGUGGAUAGUGCCAUUGAGAGAAUUGGAACAUGCUUGUACAUCGAAAUGUCUAAGUGUCAUAAAGGGGCACUAGACUUAGUAAAUAUGAGAAUUUCACAUUGUGACAUAGAACUAGAUCUUCGAGAUGCUAGUGAUUAUUGCCAUGUUAGAGACAUGAUGAUUGGAUAUUUGAGACAUUGACCUUGCUUGUUUGCCAUUUGUGCUCAUUCGCACAUGCUUGUGAGGGUCGCUCCCUACAAGCCGGCACUCCGGAGUCAGCCUACGCGACUAUGUUCGCUCGUGCGGUAUUGAGAAGCCUACGGGGUCGAGUGGGACAGACACAUUCCAAGAGUAGGGAUGUUGGGCUACCACAGGCACUUAGGCGGCACAAGCUGGAUUACCUUGGGUAGGACCUUAAUUAAAAAUGGAAAUCGACACGGGAUGAGUAUGUUAUAAUCACUACUAGAUAGAGAGUAGUAGUUGGAUUACUCAGACUUGCUUUUAGCAUAGAUUUGGACCUUUGGGUAUAUAUACAUACAUGUAGUAUGCUAGGAGACAUUGCUUAUUUGCAUUCAUAUAUACAAUGUUGCUAUGAUAAAGGAUAAUCCUCAUAAUUUCAUUAAGCAAACCAUGACAUUAUAUGGAUGGCUAAGUAGAGACAUAUUCCUUAAUUGACAAAUAGAUUUGCAUUUACAUAAAUGCCCAUGUUUAAUUGCAAGUACAGUAUUUAGCAUUUUCAUUAUACUUUCAUAAAUGAAAUUACUCGUUAAUACUAUUGCUUUCGACUUACCCUUUUCCUUUUCGGGCUAGUGGUGCAUUUGAGUGAGCGUUAAGUAUUUACCCACUGGGAUACUAAAAUUAUUAGUUCUCACGCCACUCUUUUCAUGAUUUCUUUCAGAGAGCCUUCCACCGGGAGAUGUCUAGGACUCGGUGGGAAAGGGCUACUGCUUCGAGUUAGCCUUCAGCGGCUGAGAGUUUUAGGUGGUCUACGUCAUCAUGUAUUUCAUUUUUGAGAGUGAUGGUACACAUCGUAUAGAGACCUCUUUUGUACUUUGCAGACGAUAUUGUAUUAACUUAUGUUACUUUAUCGUUUAGGAUAUGUUUUUUUACUCUGGUUUAGAUAUAGAAUUUACUUGCUGCUGAUAUAUUAGGUUGUUAUUCAUUCUCAUUUAUUCUACCGUCUUGCUUUACUUCCGCUCUUUAUUGUAGACGCCUUAUAUGUGUAGACAUAUGGCGGGUCUGGGCGCGCUACCGGGAGGGCCUCCACCGGUCCCGAGGCGUGACAGAUUAGUUUGGUAUCAGAGCCUAGGGUUGAGUCUUAGUGGACCUAGCAAAACUUAGGCCGGUUGGACCAUAGGAGUUAGGCUCGUGAGAGACGAGGUCUAAUUGACUUGUGAGCGAAAGUAUUACGAUUGGGUAUAUGAUAACUCUAAAAAGUUAGAGUUGAUCGGAGUGUAUGGCUUCUAACUUCGCGGAGGGUUACGUUGGCGGCCGACAACGUAACAUCGGGAGUUAGUAGUGGAGGACACUUCCUUACUUUCGCAUGAUUUGGGUUUUAUCGUUUUGAGCUAGGAUGCGAUAGCGUGGGUUACUAACCUGCGCUUUUAUGUUUUGUAGUGACGAUGCCGGUUACAUGCUCCCAGUCUGGCGGGGCCGAUGAUGCGGCACAUCCCGAGGAGGUCGAGACCUCCGCUACUUCCGGAUCUAGUGAGGUCCGUGACUUGAGGGCGCAGCUUGCGGUUCUCACUGAUCUGUUGGCGCAGCAGUCGGCAGCGGCGCAGCGACAGGCUGAGGUGGCUCAGCGGCAGGAGGCGCGGAUGAAGCAUCUUGAGGACCUCCUACUUCAGCAGGCGGCGGCUUCGAGGGAGACCGAGGGUCCCACACCGCCAGCACCCGUGGUGGACGUCGCACCGAGGACGCAGUCCCCUGCGUCCAGUUCUUCACAUGCGGCACCGGCGACCGCACCGCGGGAGGAGGUGGCUGCGGUACUACCAGUUCAGAGACCGGCGACAGGGGCGGCAUUCCCCGUGAUGGCCGAGGGAGCCGAGCGGGAUCGGCUCAUGGAUUGCCUCAAUGAGUUUAGGAGGUGCAGCCCGAGGACGUUUGAUGGCUAGAACGUCGACCACUGGAUUGUUGAGAAGUGGUUGAUGCAAAUGGAGAAGCUUUUUCGAGACACCUUUGUGGAGGAGUAGGACGGAGUUUGGCUCGCCACUCACUUUCUUUACGACGAGGCCUACCGUUGGUUGUUGGAUAUCCAGGACAACCCUAACUCCGACUUGGCAGCGAUUACUUGGACGCGAUUCAAGGAGCUUCUUCUGGCGCACCACUUUCCGACCAGCGUCAAGAGGAAGAUGGAGCAGAAUUUGCGCAGCUUGCGCCAGAACGAGCGAUCAGUGGCUGAGUACGAGAGGGAGUUCUCCCGGAUACUAUACUGUGUACCGUUUGUUGUGAGGGAUGACGAGGACAAAGCCCGCAUAUUUGAGCGUGGUUUGCGGCCUUCUAUCUUCCGGUUGGUGCAGUCUUCCAACCUCCAGACCUAUCGGGAGGUUGUUGAUCGAGCAUUGAUAGUGGAGGCAGGAGCGUCGGAUUUGCAGGAGCGUCACGAGAGGUCGGAGAAAUGGAAGGGAAGGAGGGCCUAGGGAUGAGCCUCCCCCACUCUAGGGAUGAGCCUCCCCCACGGCAAUCCACUUCGGCGCCCAAUCCCGCACGGGCGAGCAUAUGUCACGAUGGCUAUCUCCGGAGUGCCGGCUUGUAGGGAGCGACCCUCACAAGCAUGUGCGAAUGAGCACAAUGGCAAGCAAGCAAUGAUCUGUCUCAAGUACGAAGUCCUCAUGUCUAAAAAUAUGGAAUAUAUCAAGUAUCUCAAUGGCCUAUCUCUAUGUCAUCAUGUCUCUAACAUGAAAUAUAGCAGAUGUACAAUGGCCUAUCAUCAUGUCUCUAAGUUGCAGUUUCAUAGUUUACUAGUUUCAAGUGCCUCUUGAUGACACUUCUGUUCAACGAGUUCCAAGCAUGGCAUUAAUAUGUUCAGGAUGCAUAAUUCACUCAAUUCUAGCAUGGAGACAUGUUCUCAACUUGCAAAACCAAGCACUAUCCACAUUGCAUGCAAUCUACACAUAUAGCUCUACUAUAUGGAGUACAAAUUUUACGAUAAAGGAGGCAUGCAUGUUAAGUGUUUUAAAAUUCACAUAAAUCAUGUUUAGCAAGAAUUUGCAUUCAAAAAUACUUUACGAAAAGUUUAGAAGGCAUAGGAGCCAUUUUGCCCCAUUUUCAUGAAGUCAAAUCCACCAACGGUAGACGGAGCCCUUCGUUUGCUCCGACGAAGGUGUCCUUUAGCCUCCUAGUACCCUAGAGGUAUGAAAACAAGUGUCACCUAACCGAAACGAACGACGCUAAGCUCAAUCAUUAAGCUUCCAUAGCUAGGUUGGAGAAAACUCACCGAAAGCUAAAGAAUCUCUCUCGAUCUCUAAAAGGGAGUUAGAAUCCUUCAAAUCCAACCUAAAUCAAACUUCUAAACCAAUCAAUUUGGCUCCAAAGCCCUCAAAUAAAAAAUCCCCAUUUUUAACCCUAAUAUGCCAAUUCUAGGGUUUGAUCUAGUAGAAGCUACCAAAACUUAAUCCAAAGGAAAGAUUAGGCUUACUAACCUCACAAGAAGCUCAAAACCAAGUCCCAAGUCCCCUAGAGUGGAAGAUCUCCUCUCAAACAAGCUCCUCUCCAAGCUCCAAGCCUUGAACAAUGGGGGAAACCCAACAAAAAGCAAGGUGGAGAAGAGAGGAGAGGUCAAAACCAACCAAAAUCCAUCAAAAAUGGAGAAGAAAUAAAAGGGAACUCCUCUUAUCUUGCUCUCCACUGUUCUAGGGCUCAAAACAGCCCCUAAGAGGCUGGGGUGUGCUUAAAUAGAAGUUGCAACAAUUACAAAACACCUCUCUACGAAACAGCCAAAAUCUGUACUGCGUACCGGUACACGGGUUUGUGUACCGGUACACAAUCCACGAAACGCCAAACCCGAGCCUCGGGUUUACCGGUACAGCCAUCAACCCCGUACCGGUACAGCAAGCGAACCUGUACCGGUACACAGCCUGCAGAAGGCUACCCGAGAGCUAACCAAAAAUUCAACUUUUUGGAUUUUGAUGCAAGGUUUUAAACUACCAUUCUCGGGACUCGAACCAUAGGUCGGAACGCUGUCAACGACCCACCAGAAAGUCUGAGAAAGCUCAGAACCCAUUCAAUCACUCGAACACCACAAUUUGCAAGGUCCAGUGCGUCACACAAAGCAGUCUCCUUGCCGCAGCUUCCUGAACUUGUCCCGAAGCUUUCUCCUUUCAGUGUCGGGGAAGUACGUAGAAAACAUUAAUCCCCGAAAUUCAUCCCACGCCAUAGGAGGAAGACUAGGCGAUCGAUCCCGUCGAAUGCCUUUCCACAACGCCUUUGUUGAUUGCUUCAAGCAAUGCACAGCUAGGGACACCUUAUCCCGCUCCAAGGUGUAUAGCUCCUCGAAGAGCGUUUCUAUGGAGUCAAUCCACAUCUCCACGAUCCACGGAUCGACAUUCUCUCCAUCGAAGGUAGGUGGAUCAAAUUUCUUGAAAGUCAUUAGGGCCGCCAAAGUCCGUUCUUUCUCUGCCUCCAAUUCCACAGAACUAGAGGUCGCUGCCCCCGAAUCCAUCGCGACUCCUGUCGGUACACGGCACGCUGCUACCGGCGCAGCCGCCGCAGGCUGUCACGUCAACAAUUCAUGGAGCUCCUUGAUCUGCUCCUUCUGUCGCUGCACUACGCCUAUGAGCGUAUUCAAUUGCUCGCGGAGCAUUGGGUCUCCGCUCGCCUCAGCUUGCCAAGGAACACCACUUGUCCCUUCCCGCGCCGAUCUGGAUGAGGAUCGCCUACGCGGUGCCAUCGCUUCCUGAAACACGACAACUCGAUUAGUUCUCGACCAACUUGGGUCGAACACAAGACCACUAACAACGGCUCAAAAGCCAAUCAGGCGAAAGUCACGCGAGGACGUCUAUUCUCAUCACUAGGUUUCAUGUUGUCGUACGCCAACAUGAACAUCCUCGGCUGAGAAUAGACGUUUACGACACAACCCAUUAAUAUUCGUCUACCUCUAACCACACCUCAAGUCUACCUCUAAUAUUCGUCUUAGAGGUUUACGACACAACCCAAUCCAUUAAUCUUUCGCCACAAAUCAUAAGUUCUCGUCUCUCACGAACCUUAUUCUCCUAUGGUUUACUAUCCUAGGUCUCCUAGGUCCAGCUAAACCAUUUCCCAUUCUCUACUUUAUGCUCUGAUACCACUUUAUCUGUCACGCCCCGCGACCAACCGCCAAUUUGGACCGGGUCGCGACGCCGACGACAGACCGCCGAACGGACCGGGGUUUCCCCUGUACGCGGACAGAGUCUCCCCUGUACGUUAUAGGCGUCGCAAUCCAAACAAUGUACAUUACAAGGGUUCCAACCAGGAACAGAUAUCAAUCAUAGAUUGCCAAUGGAAAGGUAUCAACAACAUAACACAUCCUAUGUUAUUACAUACAUUCACAUUAGAUUCAUUUAUUUACAUCACACUUGAUCGGGUCGCGGCGCCGACGACAGACCGCCGAACGGACCCGGGUUUCCCCUGUAUGCGGACAGAGUCUCCCCUGUACCUUUAGGUGUCGCAAUCGAAACAAUGUACAUUACAAGGAUUCCAACAAGGAACAGAUAUCAAUCAUAGAUUGCCAAUGGAAAGGUAUCAACAACAUAACACAUCCUAUGUUAUUACAUACAUUCACAUUAGAUUCAUUUAUUUACAUCACACUUUAUAUUACAUUCAACUUCCAAAUACAAUCUAAGUUAUUACAAGUUUAAUACAUUUUGUUCCUUUCAUUUUCUAUACCCUUAAGCUACGUCGACGGGGUACUACUAGCUCUGGUUUCUGGGGAUAGGGCGCUAUCUAUGGAGCUACGCCCUUGCCUCGCGCCGCCGCGCCGCUCACGUGCGAACCUGUAAAACCCCAAAACAACGUGGGGUGAGAACCAACUCCAUGGUUCCCAGUGGGUACGGCCACCCAAGGGAGGAGCUCGACCAACAGGUCCAAGGGAGGCAAAUACAAGUUAGUCCAAUAAACAGAUAGAUAUAUAUAUCAUAAACAUGCAACUAACUUUACCUUACUUUGCCUCACAACUGUAAUGAUGCCAUGCUAUAUGCAACAGGAAUAUAUGCAACAACUAGUAGAAUUAUUGAUUCUACAAUUAAUCUCACUAAUCUUAGCUCAUGUCAUCCAACUCUAAGGUUUCUACUACCUUAGGUUACACAUUUACCACUAGCCCUCAAGGUUCUAUCUACCUUAUUCCAACUAGCCACCCGACUCGGCCUCGAGUCAAUCAACUGCGGAUAGUCCGCGUUCUGCCCGGCUUGAGGUGAAGGACCCUGUCACAACGCACCUCAGCCUACAAGCCAAGAACCACAUCGCCUAACGGUCCGCCCGAAGGUCCGUGCACCGUGGUCAGGGAUCCGCCAGAGGGAGAGGAACAUAACCGCAUACACCCAUAGCCAAGACCCCCGAUAGGGAGAGGAACAUGCCGCAUACACCCUAGCGCUCUUUGUUCUUGCUUAGUCACAAUCCUCAAAGUUCUUCCGAUGGGAGAGGAACAUCGCCGCAUACACCCGCGGUCCAAGAACUAUUGAGUUCACAAGUCUUGGGAUUCCGGAAUCCACUUCACAAGUCAAGGGUCUGUAUCCAACCCUAUGCUAUCGACCUAUCUAGGUCUAAUGCACUUUCCACCCUAGGUCCAACUGACUCUAGGUCUAAUGCCUCAAUUUCACAACCUAGGUUUACCUUAACUCUAGGUUCAGUUCUCAACCUAUGUUCUUUAACACUAGGUUAGAUACCACACACCUAGAUCCCGACUCUAGGUUCACACUCAACCUAUGUUCUUUAACACUAGGUUAGAUGCCACUCGUUAUUUAUCCUAGGUUCAACAACACUAGGUUCAAUGUCAUCUAUGUCCGACCUAUGUUUAUUAACACUAGGUUCAAUGCCACUCGAUCUACUUGACGUCCUAUUGUCAUAUCGAGUACUACAGAUAUCCACAUUUCAUCUCGCAUACAUUCUAUGAUGCCAAUAUGCAUUUACUAUCUAGCAUGAACUCAUAAUGCUAAGUGCAACUAGCAUAUACUCCAAUGCACACAUACAUAUCAUUUGCAUUAUCACUAGCAUGUAUUCUAUAUCACGUCAUUUUACAUGGAUCUACUUAGCAUUUGCAUCAUAUUAUUAACAUGCAUUAGCUACAUGAAUCAACCACAUGCUCUAUUUACAUUUAUAUGCAUCAUCUAUAUGCCUCAUUUACAUUCAUAUGCAUCAACAUGGAUUCUUAAUCAUCCUAGACAUAAAGGGCGACCUAGUCGCUUCGAUAAGCACAACCCACCUUAACUCGCGUUCCGAUUGCUCGUCGACACUUGCAAUCGGCCUUCCGCGGCACUCGGCAUCCGUUUGGGCCCGAUCUCACAGUUGCUCUCCAAGAGCACGUCGCUUCGCCAUUUCAAGAGUUAAAGGUCUUCGCCUUGCUGCUACAGUGUUCGGGACCCGAUUUCACGAUUUAUGGACGUCGCCUCGGCCCUACAGGCGGAAAUGAAGCUCCAAGCAUCCGUUUCUUCAAUAUCUUUGUAACGGCUCGUCGGAUUGUCAAACCGUCUUCGCCAACGUGUUUCGUUACCUAGCAAUUAGGUUUACAGAGGGUUAAAUGAGAUCAAACCCUCAUAUAUAUCAAAACGCCAUUUUGGAGCCCUAGGUUUGCAUCUAAGCAAAAACCACCAUUUGAACUCUAGAUUCAAGCAUUAAACAUCUAUUAAGCUUGCUAGAACACUAAUCAAACCAUUUCUAGAGCAUUAGGAUCAAAUCCUAGAGAUCUACCAUUGUAGGGUUUGGAGCUUACCUUGCUAAGCUUGCUCUAAUGGUGAGAGGAAGAAGAAGAUGAUGUUGGUGAUGAUGAUCCCUCCAACUUCUUCUUUUCCUCCCUUUCCUUCUCCUCCUUCCUCUUCUUCUCCUCUUUCUUUUUCGUUUAGAGAGAGAGAGAGGUGGUGUUGGGUGUUAAACGGGUGAGGGAGAAGAGAGGAAGGCUUAAUUCCCCAAUCUGUACACUCUAAUAAGUGCUACAAGUGCAAAUAGGCCCCUCAACUUCAUGUUCAUUGCAUUGCCCCCGCGGGGGCCAUUUUUGUAUAGGGGACCGGUCCCUGGACUUGGGGGACCGGUCCUCGUAGGUCCAGAAUUCCAGCCUUUAAGGACUUAAAUUUUCAGCUUUUUAACCGUUUCUUCUCCGUUUUCGCUCGUUCUCGCUUGUUUGACCUCCGAUUCUUUUCAAAUCGAACCGAGACUCUCCAAACAUGUUUUCGAGCGUAUUUUCAUCAUCUUUUCAUCCACGCUAAUGCCGGAUUUGGCUCACGGCCCAACACGGCCUUUCGGCUCCAUUUUAGCUCCUACGUGCACUGAAACGCCCGAAUGCUUCCGGACCUCACCGGGACCAUUCAAAUGGCUCUCUAAUCAAAUGUACACCGUAACUUCAUAGUUUUUAGAAGUCCGAUACCUUACACGCGCACUGGCUGCUCAUCAGCCUACCGCCCUCCCUGUCUCAGCCGCUUAGCGGCGAAGUCGUCGCACACGCUAAGCUCGGCUCGAGUCGCAUGACUUGACAAUCUGGUGGCGAUCGCGUUGCACUUACCCAGCGUGAGCUCGAGUCCUGACACACCAUCUGGCGGCGAAUGGAUCGCACCACACCCAACAACGGUACAUGUCAGACUCAGUCACCUAGAGGCACCCACAUUGUACUUACCCAGCAUGGAUUCAGUCUGCUAUGGCGGUCUGAUCCUCAAAUGGCUUAACCAUCCUGGCGGCGAAAUCGUCGCACAAACGCCACAGCAAUGGUUCAAGCCCUGGGCGGUGAUCUCCAUGUGAUCACCCCCAAUCCUCCCUCGGUACCAAGCUCGGCGGCGAAGUCGUCGCACAAACACCCUAGCUUCUACCAGGGUCAUCACAAGUCAUGGGAUUCCGGAAUCCACUUUCCACAGGUCGAGGGUCCAUAGCCAAUCCUAUACUUUCGACCUAGCUCAUCCUAGUGGCUAUACCACUAUACUCAUCAACCUAGGUUCCAAUACUCUAGGUUCUAUGUCCAUGUCACUCACCUAGAUACACUUGCUAGGUUCUUGUCAUCUUUGCCUAGAUGUCCACUUCUAGGUUUACUAGUUCGACCUAGGUUUACUAACACUAGGUUCGAUGCCACACACCUAGAUUGUUCGACUCUAGGUUCACUCGUUUAACCUGGGUUCUUUAACACUACGUUAGAUGCCACUCGAUCUACCUGACAACCUAGUUGUCCAAUCAACUCUACUCACACUAGAGUUAUUAACUCAUACUUUCUACUUGGCAUUUACUCUAUGCAUCUUUGUUCAUCAUGCAUUCUAUUUAGCAUUUCCAUCUAUGCAUUACGAUUAGUAUGCAAUCUUUACAUUAGCUAGCAUUAUUUACAUGUCAUGCUAUCAUGCUUGCUACUUACCAUGCAUUCUUUACUUAGCCUUUACUUUAUGCAUAUUUAUUAAUGCACCUUUCAGUCUUGUCACAUGCACAUGCAUCAACAUGAGAUUGCAUUGCUAAGACAUAAAGAGCGACCUAGUCGCUUCGGUAAGCACAACCCACCUUAGUUAGCUUUUUCGAUUGCUCGUCGACACUUGCAAUCGGCCUCCCGCGGCACUCGGCACCCGUUUGGGCCCGACCUCUCAGUUGCUCCCCAAGUGUAGCACACUGGACCUUUGCAAAUUGCGAGGUUCGAGUGUUCGAUUUGUAUUCCGAACUUUUCCACACUUGGUGGAGGGCCGUUGAUGGCAUACCGGCCUAAAAGUUCGAUCUCGAGAGUUUUGGCAGAGUCCUGAGAGUUUUUACUCUCGGGGACCGGUCCCUGAUAGGACAGACCGGUCCCCCAGUGAACAGUGCUGCGCAGCCGGCGAGGCAGCCGGUCCCUGGCAGUCGAGACCGGUCCCCGAGCGCGUCUGCGCGGGGAGAGACCGGUCCCGCGCAGGGAGAGACCGGUUUCCGAACGUUGGAUUUUCGGGGGCAGGCUGAGAGACCGGUCCCAGGUCGGGGAGACCGGUCCCUCUGGGCGAAAACUGCCCAGACCGGGCUGAUGUAAAUUUGAGUUUUUGAGGGACCUAAGUGGAUUUUGUUGCUUUUAAUGGCCUAUUUGGCCAUUUCACUCUUUUCUCUCCUCAUUUCUUCCCUUCCCACCUAUUCUAGAGAGAGAAGAAGAGAGGGAUAAGAAGAAGAAGAAGAAGAAGAAGAAGAGGAGAAGGAGCUUGCUUGGAGGCUUUGGAGCAUCAUCUUCUUCCCCAUUUUCUCACCUUGGUGGCUUCGAGCUUGCGGUUGGAGCUUUGUGGACGAUCAAACUUCAACCCUACUUGGUUUUGAGCUUGGAUUGAAGCUCCUCUUGAGGUUGGUAGCAUGUAAUCCCUACUUGAUACAUGUUUUUCUAGGUUUUACUAGAUGAAAUCCUAGAUUGGGAUUCUAGGGCUAGAUUUGGGGCUUUUUGAUUUGAGGGCUUUGAAACCUUUUUGAUGGGUUUGGAACCUUUAUAUAGAUUAGAUUGGAAGACCCCUACCUUCCAUUUGAAGAUUAAGAGAGGGUUUUUCACUUGAGGUGAGUUUUUCCCAACCCUAGCUUGAGUUGGUUAAUGAUUGAACUUAGCGUCAUUCGUUUCGACUAGAUGACACUUGUUUUCAUGCCUUUAGGGUACUAGGAGUGUGGUGGACGCCUUCGUCGUGGCAAACGAAAGCUUUCGUUGACGACGGUGGGUUUGGCCUCGUGGAAAUGGGGCGAAAUGGCCCCUAUGCUCUUUCUAUUUGUUGUAAAAUAUUUUUAAAUUCAUUUCUAUGCUAAAUGGAAUUUAUAUGAAUUUUAGAGCACCUAAAAUGCAUGCCUUGUGUAUUAUGAAAAUUUCACUAUAUAGUAGAGCUAUAUGAGUAGAAUGCAUGCAUAUGGGAAAAGUGUUUAUUUGCAAGUGAAAAAUACAUCAUUUAUGAGGAUUAUGACUUGGAAAAUGUACUUUGGAAUAUAGUUGCCAUGCUCUGGCAUAGAGAACAAGAGUGUCAUCAAGGGGCACUUGAAACUAGUAAACUAUGAAACUGCAACAUAAAGACAUAUUGAUAGGCCACUACUUAUCCGCUACAUUCCAUGUUAGAGACAUGAUGACAUAGGGAUAGGCCGUUGAGAUACUUGACACAUUCCAUGUUAUUAGACAUGAGGACUUGGUACUUGCGACAGAUCGUUUGCCUACUUGCCAUUGUGCUCAUUCGCACAUGCUUGUGAGGGUCACUCCCUACAAGCCGGCACUCCGGAGAUAGCCAUCGCGAUUCAUAUUCGCCGUGCGGGAUUGGGCGCCGAAGUGGGUUGCCGUGGGCCAGGCUCAUUCCUACGGUGGGGAUGAUGACUACCACGGGGCCAUUAGGCUCGGUAUCGGCCAGACAGCCUACGGGUGGGUCUCAGGGCCAUAGACAAUCUUCGGGUGGGUCUCUUCAGAUUGGACUUUGAGUAUUCACUAUAAUAUGUGAACUUUAAAACUGUUAAAGUGGACUUGGACUAGGAUAGUAAACUAUGACACUUUUACUAUCUCUGCAUUGAGGAUAUCGGAUUGGUUGCAUUUCUAUGCUUAUGCAUGUCAUACACAUCCAUGUACAUUCAUGAUAUCGUUGCUUUAUUACUUAUGCAAAUCAUGCUAAGUAGAGACCUUAUGUUAUAGCAAAUUACAUUUUACUUGCCUUUCGCUUUACUACAUUGUUAGUCACUGACCACUUUCCUUAUAGUUUUGGGCCUUGUGGUGCAUUCACUGAAGUCAGUAAUUGCCCACUGGGAACUAUUUUUAAUAGUUCUCACGCCCUCUUUUUCGUGGUUUCUUUCAGAGCCUUCUGCACCGGUGGAGGCACGGGAUCGAGGCAAGGGGAUCGCAUAGCUAGCUAGCGAGGAGCGGUUCUUUGCCUAGGUAGUUGAGAGAGAGAGUGAGAGAUUUUGUAUCCCUGUAUAGAGACCACCUGUGUAUCUACUUUUAGCACUUGUAUUUAGAAUUUCUUCUGUAUUACUUUAUGUUUCUUUAGUGAAUCUCAGUUUUAUCCUUAUUCCUUGGUUGUAGAAAUUAGACACUUAUCAUGCUCUGAUACUCUUAGUUCUCUUUUUACUGCUUUAUUU